rnacentral:miRNA from 1 species
GUCCCCUUAAACCAAGCUCUGA